rnacentral:rRNA from 1 species
ACGCUCGACACCUACGGUAGGCAGCAGUGGGGAAUAUUGCACAAUGGGGGAAACCCUGAUGCAGCGACGCCGCGUGAAGGAUGAAGUAUUUCGGUAUGUAAACUUCUAUCAGCAGGGAAGAAAGUGACGGUACCUGACUAAGAAGCCCCGGCUAACUACGUGCCAGCAGCCGCGGUAAUCUGAGCGGGCUGGCAAGGC